CAGAUCAACCAGCGCCACCGCAGCGGCAAAUUACAGAGUGAAGCGUCGUUGCAUUUGGGAGUAAUUUACUUCCAACUGCACCGUUGUAGUUACGGCGCAUAGCGACUAAAUGUUGGUGAGGUUGCAAUAAUUCACGAAAAGCAACACAGAUAAUGUCUUUUACACACUCAGGCACUUGACUAAUAAUGACCUAUUAGGCUGCGCAAAACUGCAGGAAAAUGACGAACACUGAUUGAGCGUUAGCCACUUAGCUGCGGUUUGUUUUUGCACUGAAUGACGUCAAAACGCUACUUUAUUGGGUCAUUUCAGGAAAAGUGCGGAACCAUGAGCCACGAAACAAGACUACACUCAGAGGACACGUCGGAGAUGUGGAGAAGUGGACAUGGAGCGUUGAACUUGGCUCCUCUGCCAGGUGAUAGGACAGAAGCCACCUACAAACCUGGGACUGAGACCAGCAGCAUGAAACAUCUGAUAGAAGAGAUGAAGACGCUUUACAAGCAGAGACUGAGAUGUCUGGAGCUGGACUCCUCUCUGACCAGAGAAGAGCUGCUACAAAAGAAAGUGGAUUUCCUGUGGUCUUAUGUGAAUGACUUUGCAGACCAGAACCAGGUGCUGCUUCAAACCAUCGAGGAACUUCACAAGGAAACGGAGCACAAGUGUUCCAGUUGGGGAAUGAAGCUGUGCACCUCGGAUCCUAAUUUAAGCGUGUCUGGAGUUGAUCUAAAGACUUUGUCGCUGGAAGAUCUUGAUCGACCUGCAGCUCACGUCCCACAGAACCCUGUUUCCUUGGUCCAGUUAAAAGGCCUCAAAAUUCACCUGCAAAACACGAACAUGGUCGCCUCUGAUCUGGAGCUGGGGAGCCAGGAGCAUUUAGAGCACAAGCUAAAGAACUUGCAGAGUGAGCUGUCUUGUCUGCAGCAGAUCCACAAAGACAAUAUGAAGGAAAUCGCUGAGAAAGACAUUUGCAUAACCAAACUGCAGGUGAACCUUGAGCUGCUGCAGCAGGAGUCGUCUGACUCUCGUGAUCAGGUCUCCAGGUUGAAUGUGAAAGUGAAGGAGCUGCAGGAGGAGUUGAAGGGGAAAGAGGAGGAGUGGGUGAAACAAGAGGAAGACCUGAAGCAGAAGACUGACGAGGAGCGGAGGGCCCAGGCUCAGGCUGCGAAGUCAUGGGCUGAGAAAGCAGCUGUUUUGAAUUCUGAGUCGCAAAAGAGCGAAUGCACGUUGAGCCACAUCAGCGAAGCCCUGGAUCAGAGCAAAAGCUGUCUAGAGGCGGAAAGACGGCAGAGGCAGCAGAUCCAGGACCAGCUGCACCACAGCAGCACAGAGGUAGAGCGACUUCAGAAGGAGCUGGCAAUGGUGCAUCACGCAACUGAAAAAAAGAUACAAAAGAGAGAACUCAAGAUUUGUGCUCUGGCGAAGGAGCUCACGGAGAGUAAGCAGCAUCGCUCUGAAUGUCAGGAAGAGUUGUUCAAGAAGGAGAAGGAUCUGGAGAAAGGGUGCGAGGAGAGGGACGAGCUGAGGGUCCAGCUGGAGGCCCAGAGCCGAGAGUGUGUCCUCCUCAUCCAGACCAGAGAGAGGCUGGAGGCAGACCUGGCUCUGAGCCGCGAGAGGGUCCACACCUCGCGCCUGGAGGUUCGAAGCAGAGAUCAGUUCAUCGUGCAGCUACGAGCCGAGGUGACGGCCGCUGAGCAAAAGCACUGGGCCGCGCAGGAGCAGGUGGCAUCACUGGAGGAUGAGGUAAGGCAUUUGAACCGCGAUGUCAGAGGACGCCAGGAAGAGGCCUCUCAGCUAAGCAGAAAAAUCAGAGAUAUCGAGCAGCUCAAGGAGCAGAAGGAGAAAGAGCAACAGGAGCUGCACGAUCAGCUUCGUAUUAGUCAGCAACAGUUAUUGGCGUCACAUCAGCAGCUGAAAGGAGCCAAGCAGGAGCUGGAAAAUGCCACUCUGCAAACCCAGGAGCACAAAGAAGCACUGGCCGCUCUGAAACAAGAGCACGCGGCGGUGCUGGAGAAGGCGAACGCGGUUCAAGGGCAAGUCGAGCAGUUGGAAGAGGAGCUGCGUUAUUCACAGCAACAGCUGAGAGAGUCUCAAUUAGCAUCUCGUUCAGUGCAAAAAGAGCUAGUUGAACUGGAGCGGCGCCACCAGGAAAAGGUUGGCCAGUGGGAGAGCUCACGGGAGGCUCUUGACCGGCUGACAGAUGAGCUCCAGGCCAAUCAGAACCUGCUGAGGGACAGUCGGCAUGAAGUGGAGCACUUCAAAAAUCGCACGGAGUCCCUGCGGGCGCAGGUGGACGCGCUCAAACAGCAGAAACUGAUGUUGGAGCAGGACCUGCACCUCUAUCAACAGAGUCAUUCUCAUUCUGAUGAUGAGUACCUCAGUCUGGCAAAAUGCUCUCAGCAGCUCCAACAGCACUGUAGUGAGCAGGUGGAGCGCUUUGCUGAGUGUGAAAAGACUAUUCUUCACAUGAAGUCAGAGCUGGAGCGACAGGCCGAGAAAAAGGCGAGUUUGAAGCAGAUGCUCGCGUCAUCCCACAGCGCGCACCUGAGCAGUCGCAGCAAGCUGGAACAGGAAGUGUCACAUUUGAAAAAGGAAGUAGGACGCUUAGAGCUGGAGCUGGCCGACUCCCAAAAGGUUCACGCCGACGUCCUCGGGCGAUCGGAGGAGGAGCUGAAGGGAGCCCGGCGGGAGGCUUUGAGGAGCAGCAGGGAGCUGGAAGUGCAGAGAGGCGAGGUGCAGAGGCUUCAGGCCGAGUUACGGGAGGAGGAGGACAAGUUGAGGUGUGCUGUCACCGAGAAACUGAGUCUGAGCGCCUGCGUCAGGCGGCUGAGCCAAGAAGUGGAGGAGCUCCGCAGCAAGCACCGAGUGACAGUGGAAGAGUUGGCAGCCCGUGCGGACGAGGCGAGGCAGAUGGAGGGCUGCCUGAACGAGGGGAAGCUAGCGGAGGAGAAAAUGAGAUCAAUGGCCAGGAGCCUGGAGAUGGAGGUGGCAGGGCUCAGGAAGAACCUUCGGGAGGCUGUCGAUCAGAAAGCGGCGGCGGAGAGGGAAAAACAAGGCGCGCAGGACCAGGUGGACACGCUGCAGCUGGAGCUGGAGGCAGCGCGAUCAGACAGAGCGAGUCUUUGUCACGAGUCUCAGAUGGUCAUGACGAACGUCAGCCAGUGGAUUUCUGAACAGAAGGCUUCUAAUGAAAGUCUCGCUGCCCAGAUGAAGGCCCAGAGCAAGCUGCUUCUCAUUGCCACUGAAGAGAGGGAACAUCUUCAGGAGACUAAUGACACACUGAAGGCGGAGGUAGAGAGACUGAAGGGAGCGCUGGAUGAGAAGGACAGAGACGUGGAGGGAUUCAAGGCCCAGAUCCGGCACCAGAGCAUGCGGCUCGACAGGAGAACCGCGGAAAAUCAAGGUUGUGUGGCUUUAAACCUCAGCAAAAUCGAGGACAUGCAGACCAGAAUGCGAAGCAACCUGGAGGCCAUUGGGAUGUUAAAUCAACAAUUAAACACCCUCAGCCAGGAAAAUGAGCAGCUGCGUAGGCAGCUGGAUGAAGAAAGGUGCAUGCGCAGACAAAUGGAGCGGCUUCUCCCUCCCACCUCCCAGCACUGCUCCACCCACCUCCCCGUCUCCCCCGGUGCCCACCCACCGCCUGAGUGCGCCUCCCUCCCUCCGCUCCCUCACCUGCCUCACCCACUGAGCUCGACUUGGGUGACGGGGGACACGAGCUCGGCCGAGUGGAGCUGA
ensembl:lncRNA coiled-coil domain-containing protein 18-like